GUCCCUGUAGCGAAGGGGAUAGCGCGUUGGACUUCUAAUCCAAAGGUCGUGGGUUCGAAUCCCACCAGGCAUG
rnacentral:tRNA from 1 species